UAAGGAAUAUUGGUCAAUGGGCGAGAGCCUGAACCAGCCAUGUCGCGUGCAGGAAGACGGCCUUAUGGGUUGUAAACUGCUUUUAUCGGGGAAUAAACCUAUCUACGUGUAGAUAGCUGAAGGUACCCGAAGAAUAAGCAUCGGCUAACUCCGUGCCAGCAGACGCGGUAAUACGGAGGAUGCAAGCGUUAUCCGGAUUAAUUGGGUUUACAGGGUGCGCAGGCGGAUUGGUAAGGCAGUGGUGAAAUUCAACGGCUCAACUGUUGAUCUGCCAUUGAUACUGUCAGUCUAGAGUAUAGUUGGAGUGGGCGGAAGGUGUCAUGUAGCGGUGAAAUGCUUAGAUAUGACACAGAACACCGAUCGCGAAGGCAGCUCACUAAGCUAAAACUGACGCUCAUGCACGAAAGCGUGGGGAUCAAACA
rnacentral:rRNA from 1 species